rnacentral:rRNA from 1 species
AGUAACUGCGAGUGAAGCGGCAAAAGCUCAAAUUUGAAAUCUGGCGUCUUUGGCGUCCGAAUUGUAAUUUGGAGAGGCAACUUCGGAGAUGGUGCUGUCCUAAGUCCCUUGGAACAGGAUGACAUAGAGGGUGAGAUCCCCGUGCCUGGAUGGCUGUCCAUCUCCAUGUGAAAUGCCUUCGAAGAGUCGAGUUGUUUGGGAAUGCAGCUCAAAAUGGGUGGUAAAUUUCAUCUAAAGCUAAAUAUUGGCGAGAGACCGAUAGCGCACAAGUAGAGUGAUCGAAAGAUGAAAAGCACUUUGAAAAGAGAGUUAAAAAGUACGUGAAAUUGUUGAAAGGGAAGCGCUUGAGACCAGACUCGAUUUGUGGUGAUCAGCUGUGCUUCUGUACGGUGCACUCGCCAUGGAUUGGGCCAGCAUCGGUUCUGACGGUGGGAUAAAAGGUUGAGGAAUGUGUCUUCCUUCGGGGAGUGUUAUAGCCUCACUCACAAUGCCACCAGCUGGGACCGAGGACCGCGCUUCGGCUAGGAUGCUGGCGUAAUGGUCUUAAGCGACCCGUCUUGAAACACGGACCAAGGAGUCUAACAUCUAUGCGAGUGUUCGGGUGGAAAACCCUUGCGCGUAAUGAAAGUGAACGGAGGUGGGAACCCGCAAGGGUGCACCAUCGACCGAUCCUGAUGUCUUCGGAAGGAUUUGAGUAAGAGCAUAGCUGUUGGGACCCGAAAGAUGGUGAACUAUGCCUGAAUAGGGUGAAGCCAGAGGAAACUCUGGUGGAGGCUCGCAGCGGUUCUGACGUGCAAAUCGAUCGUCAAAUUUGGGUAUAGG